UACGGAGGAUGCGAGCGUUAUCCGGAUUUAUUGGGUUUAAAGGGUGCGUAGGCGGGAUGCCAAGUCAGCGGUAAAAAUGCGGUGCUCAACGCCGUCGAGCCGUUGAAACUGGCGUUCUUGAGUGGGCGAGAAGUAUGCGGAAUGCGUGGUGUAGCGGUGAAAUGCAUAGAUACCACGCAGAACUCCGAUUGCGAAGGCAGCAUACCGGCGCCCUACUGACGCUGAGGCACGAAAGCGUGGGUAUCGAACAGG
rnacentral:rRNA from 1 species